AAGUCGCGUGAGGGAUGAAGGUUUAUGGAUCGUAAACCUCUUUUAUAAGGGAAUAAGUGCGGGACGUGUCCCGUUUUGUAUGUACCUUAUGAAUAAGGAUCGGCUAACUCCGUGCCAGCAGCCGCGGUAAUACGGAGGAUCCGAGCGUUAUCCGGAUUUAUUGGGUUUAAAGGGUGCGUAGGCGGCCUUUUAAGUCAGCGGUGAAAGUCUGUGGCUCAACCAUAGAAUUGCCGUUGAAACUGGGGGGCUUGAGUAUGUUUGAGGCAGGCGGAAUGCGUGGUGUAGCGGUGAAAUGCAUAGAUA
rnacentral:rRNA from 1 species